UACAGAGGUCCCAAGCGUUGUUCGGAUUUACUGGGCGUAAAGGGUGCGUAGGCGGUCGGGUAAGUCUGAUGUGAAAUCUCAGAGCUCAACUCUGAAACUGCAUUGGAUACUAUUCGGCUUGAGGUCUGGAGGGGGGACUGGAAUUCUCGGUGUAGCAGUGAAAUGCGUAGAUAUCGAGAGGAACACCAGUGGCGAAGGCGAGUCCCUGGACAACUCCUGACACUGAGGCACGAAAGCUAGGGGAGCAAACAGG
rnacentral:rRNA from 1 species